rnacentral:rRNA from 1 species
UACGUAGGGACCAAGCGUUGUUCGGAUUUACUGGGCGUAAAGGGCGCGUAGGCGGCGUGACAAGUCACUUGUGAAAUCUCCGGGCUUAACCCGGAGCGGCCAAGUGAUACUGUCGUGCUAGAGUGCGGAAGGGGCACUGGAAUUCUCGGUGUAGCGGUGAAAUGCGUAGAUAUCGAGAGGAACACCUGCGGCGAAGGCGGGUAGCUGGGCCGAACACUGACGCUGAGGCGCGAAAGACCCAGGGGAGGCGAACGGG